rnacentral:lncRNA from 1 species
UCAUUAAGUAAUUCUAUUUCAAAUCAACCCAAGUUGCAUUUUUUCUCGGGAUGAAGGGUUUCUGUUUAUACACUCGCUAAUUUUCACUCGUGGAAAACUUGUGUUGAACAUCUUUUUGUCAUUUACCAAUGUUGCAUCUUAAAUUAGUAGAUACCUAAUUGUGUUCAAGAGUAUUUUAUUACUGUCUCAGUCUAUAAAGAGUAUACUAGUACAUUUUAUUUUUUGAAUAUAAUUCUACUUUUUCUUUUAAUACUUCACCCUUGUAAAUAUUCUUUAUUUAUCCAAAUGUCAUAUUAUAGACUGUUGAUUUCUAUAUAAUAUAUUUAUAUAUAAGUUGUAUAUAUAUUUUUUUAUCUAUUAUAACUCAUUUUAAUUAAAAGAGAAUAUAGUGAAUCCGAGAAGAUAUAAACGGCGCACCUAAUUGAGAAAUAAAAUUAGGGCUCCUUAAGUUGUACACUACAUUUUAUAUUGUUUUUUUAUUAUCCUCUUUUAUAGUAUAUCUUUUUUUUUAAUUAUUUUUAUCUAUUGCUUGAAAGUUGGAUCAAUUUUUAGGCUAAUUUAAUAAUACCUGAACUUUUUCAUACAAUAACAACUAGGACGUUUAGUUUUAGGUUAUUUAAUCCAGUUAAGGUUUCAAAACUAUCAUGUUAUAAAUGGGUUAUUGAUUUCUAGAACACAUAAUAUAAGUUAUUGAGUAUUAUACAUAUUUCCUCUCAAGAGAAAAAUAUUAUACAUAAUUCAUAGAUUUUUUUUUCUAUCUAUUAUAGCUAAUUUUAUUUAUUAUAGAUAUGGUUCAAAUAUGAUAAAUGUAACAAUGAUAUAAAUUACAAACAUCAAAUAAAAUUGAAUGUUUCAUGAGUUAAUUUGUAAUUUAGAAAAAAUAUAGGUAAAAUUGAAAAAAUACAAAGAGAAUAUUGUUUUAAAUCAUGGAUUAUGAAUGCAAGUAAACCAUACAAGUUCAAUUUUAAUAAAGAUAUAUGCACAUGAUUUUAAUAUAUUUUUGGGAAAGUAGUAAUGUAAAUUAAAAUUCAUUUAAUUAUCCAGUAGACAAGUAUCACUUUUGCAUAAAAAUAAAAUUUGAAACUUAUUAUUUAAUGAUUCAUCUUCACUUACUUACAACAAUAAAAAUAAAUAAAUAAAUAAAUAAAUAAUUUUGAUUCGUAUAAAUAUAAAAAGCAUCUAAUUUGAAAAAAAAAACAAAUUAAAAAACUUGAAAUAAAUAAGGAUGGUGCAUGAAUAAUACCAUAAGAUUUUAAGACUUAUUUUUUUAUUAAUUGAAAGGUAUGAAAUUCAAAUUUAAAAAGAAACAAAUAAUUCGUGAGUUAAAUGAAAAAUGAUAGUUGUCCAAAACUGGAAAGAAAGAAAGAUGAAAGUUAUUUGGGGGAACGUCCCAAAAAUGAAAAAAGAGGAAGUUAUUUGUGGGACGGAGGGAGUAUAUAUUUGUAUGUUUGUAUAUAACUUAUUUAUUUAAAUUGAGGAUUAUUCACAGUCAUUUAAUGUAUGAAAUUGUGAAAUAAUAUUUUCACUGUUACAUACUAAAUGAAAAUUAUAAAAUAGAUAAUAAAAUAUAUUUGAUAUUUAAAAUUUAUAUUUUAGAUGAUAAACAUAUUUAGUUACAUGAUUAAAUUGUUAGCAUAUUUAUUUAUAUAGUUAAAUCGGUGUAUAUUGUUAUAUUUAAAAUAUUAUUUUAAUGAUACUAUUAAUUUACAAAACUUUGUAUUUUGGUAAUUUACCUACCUUUUGAAAUAAUACACUUAAAUUUGUGUAUUUCACGAUCAUAGAUAAUAGACUUUGUUUUAUAUAAUUUGUGUAUUUGACGUUGUAAUCGUUAUAUAUAAGAUAUAAAUUUAUUAUUUUUUUGAAUGUCGUAUUUUUUUUUCUCUUUGCGCAAAUAUUAUGCUUUUAGGAAAAAACGUUGUUCCAAACUUUUGUGUAAUUAAAUGAACCUGAUUUCUCUUAAGGUAGAAUGUUAUGUUGUGUAGUGACCAUAAGUUUCAUUGAUUAUUUCGCACAAAUAUAAUCGUGUAAUUGGAUAUCUUUCACGCUUAACUUUUUACGUAAUAAACAUGAUUUUUAUUCCAUGGGUUACGAAUUAUUGAUUAUUUCAUAGGUUGGAUUGAUUUUAGCUUGCACAUUGAUUAUUCCAUAGGUUGGUUUCAUAUUAUGUUCAUAUAUCAAUGUUUACUAAUUGUUGAUAUUUGAAACUUGAAAUUUUUUUAUUCUAUAUAAUAUUGUUUGUAUGGAACUCUAUAAAGUUGAUUUUUAUAAGAUAUUUUAUUAUUUAUUAUAUAUAUCUUGCUUUAUUUAAUAUUAUAUUAUAUUUAUAAUUAUAUUUUAUGUAUUUGUGAAUUUCGUACCCGUGCGUAUGCACGGGGUAAAAUACUAGUGUCAUAUUGAAUCACACUCACUUCAACUACAAUCAUUCAUUUUACAUNUCUGGGGCGUUGGUAGAUGUGCGUCUCUCCGGUUUUGUCAAGUAAUGAAGACGACGAGCUCCGCUAAAAGUGGACAUUUUCCUAUGCUGUAUAUCAUUAAGUAAUUCUGUUUCAAAUCAACCCAAGUUGCAUUUAUUCUCGGGAUGAAGGGUUUCUGUUUAUACACUCGCUAAUUUUCACUCGUGGAAAACUUGUGUUGAACAUCUUUUUGUCAUUUAGCAUUGUUGCAUCUUAAAUUAGUAGAUACCUAAUUGUGUUCAAGAGUAUUUUAUUACUAUCUCCGUCUAUAAAGAGUAUACUAGUACAUUUUAUUUUUUGAAUAUAAUUCUACUUUUUCUUUUAAUACUUCACCCUUGUAAAUAUUCUUUAUUUAUCCAAAUGUCAUAUUGAAU